rnacentral:rRNA from 1 species
GAUGAACGCUGGCGGCGUGCCUAAUACAUGCAAGUCGAGCGAACGGACGAGAAGCUUGCUUUUCUGAUGUUAGCGGCGGACGGGUGAGUAACACGUGGAUAACCUACCUAUAAGACUGGGAUAACUUCGGGAAACCGGAGCUAGUACCGGAUAAUAUUUUGAACCGCAUGGUUCAAAAGUGAAAGACGGUCUUGCUGUCACUUAUAGAUGGAUCCGCGCUGCACUAGCUAGUUGGUAAGGUAACGGCUUACCAAGGCAACGAUGCAUAGCCGACCUGAGAGGGUGAUCGGCCACACUGGAACUGAGACACGGUCCAGACUCCUACGGGAGGCAGCAGUAGGGAAUCUUCCGCAAUGGGCGAAAGCCUGACGGAGCAACGCCGCGUGAGUGAUGAAGGUCUUCGGAUCGUAAAACUCUGUUAUUAGGGAAGAACAUAUGUGUAAGUAACUGUGCACAUCUUGACGGUACCUAAUCAGAAAGCCACGGCUAACUACGUG